CUAGAGCACUUCAAAGUACAAGGGAAUCCCGGUAGAAUAAAUCACUAACCAGAACUCAGAAGGAAUAUCAGCUGUGAGCCCAAGGGCUCAGGAUAAGGCAAUUCCUCCUACCAUCAGCUAACAGUUUUUGUUUUUACUAACAAGGAGACCUGUGAUCAAAGUAAAGCUUUCUCCGUACUACAUGAGGUAUGAGUACCAGUUGAAACCUCUUCAACACAGAGUGGCUAUAAAAGAUACCCCCUGCUUGGCAAAUUCAUUCUGCAUGAAACUUGCCUUAUUACCUCAGAAUUGCAGUUAUCCCUUUUGUCAAAUUUCAUAUUUCUAAAGACUAAUUCUUGAGGGCAUAAGUAACUAAUGGACAGGAAAACAGUCAUGAUUGAAAAAGUCCAAACAACCUUGGAAUACUUUACGAUAAAAUACAGUAAAUCUUACUACUGAUCUUGAAAGCAGGCUGCGUGAGUAGUGGGAAACCUAACAGUUCUUUUCUUUAAUCUAGAGCACCUGUAGCAAUCUGCAGCAGUAUUUCUGCACAUACCUUAUUUAAGAUGACUACAUGUACUGGUUUCAGUAGGUGUCUGUGAAGACAUACUCAAAGUCAAUUUAAAUAAAUUUUACCCAUUAUCGAAUACAAUAACAUCUCCACUUACUGCAAACAGCUUUAAGAAUAUUUAUAUAGAGAAAUAAAAAUAGCUCAAUUAUGACUUUCUAGGAUAACUGUUACUUUCUUUUUUUCAUAACAAGUUACCAUCUGUCGGCCAGUAGUCUCUGUCAAUUGCUUAUGAGAUGCUUGGAUUCCUCCAAGUUUUGUUCUUAGUCACCUCUUGUAUCCUGCAUUAUGCAGUUAAUGAUGUGAUUUGAUCAGAGUAAAGAGCUGAGUAGCUUUGGAUUAUUAAGAUCAGAUUUUCCAAAGUACAUGGCCUACUACCAUCUAAUAGACCCUGCCAAGGCAGAUGGCUCAGGCCCAGAUGGCAUCACUUGGAAUUGUUCUUCCAGGUCCAAAGAUAAGCACAUAACUAUGAAACCCCACAAAAAUCGUCACUGUUGCAUGUGUGGUGACAAAGCUAAAUGGGUAUCUUUUAAAAAGAUAUAAAGAAGCACAUAGAAGCUUCUACGUGCUGUAAAUCUGAGGUUGUUGAAUUAGAUGUUGGUGUUCCUCUUUCUGUAAUAAUACUAAAGACGUGCCAAUCCAUGUGUAGUUCUGUUAUGCAGAUAUUAUUUUUCUUAAAUAGCAGGUGUUAGAUCAUUAUUAUGUGGCAUUUGUGACCAAAUAUAACCUAGUCAUCGCUAAAACAAACAAAAAAAAUGGGUUAGGUUCCUUGCACUGUAGUGGCAAUUCCAGUGACCCAAAAUUGCUAAAUCUCAACUUCACCUUAACAAGUCGCAUGUCAUUCUCUCUCUGAACUGCAUCAUUGCCAAUCCAGUUUCUCCAGUCAGAAGUAGGAACUCACCCUCGACAAGCCCCUCCAUUCUCACCAUCCGGUAUGCAAUCAGUCAUUAGGUACAGUAGUUCCGACUAUACCGCUUUAAUGUUCAUUAACUUUAUCCUUCUCUCCAUCACCAAGGCCAUUACCUUACUGGGUGGCCUCACUGUUCUUAGUUGGAUGACACGGGACUCUCCACUGCAAUCUACUUGCCUAGAGCAUCUCCAGAAGCAGGAGGGAGAAUGGUUUUGAAUCUUAGCUCUAUCAUUUUCUGACUCUGUACCAAAUUACAUAUAGAUCUGUCAGAAUGAUGUAAGACCUGAUGUAAGAAAUCUCUCUGUAAGUUGAUCCUGUUGACCCCAUGAUUAGGAGCUUCACAAUGUGGUACCACACCUGGAAAUCUCCAGAACAAGACCUCAAGGAAACACAGGAAAUCCCUGGAGUGGCAAAACAUCCGACUUGAAGACAUUCAAUUAUUUCUCUGUGCAUCAGGAGCAUCACUGUUAAUUAACUAUUGAUAUGCUUGAAAGAGUUUGUUUAGCAAUAGCCCUUGCAGAAAAAAAAAGAGCCGUGUAUUAUUCAUGAUGAACUAGACAAUGCUGCCACAAUGAGUUAACUUCUACAUCUUAUUCCCUUGGCAAAAGUUUCGUUCUUAAUCCUGCAAAUUUUGAUGCAAGAUGGUUGGCUCUCCAGGCAGAUACUGACCUUGUGAAAUAGUCAUCUCAACAUGUUCCUCCAUAACAAGACUCCAUAGCAGGGGAAGAUGGAAGUGGAGGGUCACACACCUGGUCUUAUACACUUUGAUGCAAAGGUGAUACAUGUCAUUUUUACUUACAGCUUGUAGGCCAGAACAAAGCCUAAUAUACCUGCAAGGGGUCUGGAAAAUAUUCUGAAGCACAUGGCUGUUUGAUGAGCAGUAAAUGUUUCUGCCACACCAGGCUUUGGCAGACUUCAAAUUUCUUCCUAAUAGGCCUAAUUUACACCACUAACUGUAUAUCCCUUGAGUCUUCCUGGAAUAUUUUGUUAAUGUUUUUCUAGUACAGUGUCUGGCACAAAGUAUUCAAUAAACAUACUCAGCAGAACACUUAGAUCUGUAAGUUUCACUUUAUCUUUGGACUUAAGAACCCAUGUAGCUGCUAUAUCAUAUCAGGAAAGUGUAACUGCAACUCUAACUGCAAUGAAAAUUAACAGAUAAAAUGCUCAGCCCAGCUUCAAUUUUGUUUUGUUUUGUUUUUGAUUUUUGUAGUUUUUGCUUUGUUUCUUUGUUCCAGAGCAGAAGUUCAUACCUGAUUGUCACUGGACUUAGAACAAUAGUUGUGUCCACACACAAUGGGAGUGGUUCAAAUUCUUUGGGGAAUUUGUCUUCAAGUAUCUGAAGCCAGGUUGGGACACCAGUCUCUAUGUGUAAAUUAGGUUCAUUCCCUUUCAGAUGUUGUAUUUUAUUUUCGGUCAAUACUGUCCAUUCGGUAAUGGUUCACUGCAUAGACUUGAAGAUGACAUUUUGGGCUGUGUCUUGUAUUUGUCACUAACUAGCACUUUGUGGCCAGGUUAAUUAACUUUUUGGGUCUAGGUUUUCUCAUUUCUAAAUAAAAAUGUUUAUUUCUAUAA